UAGUGAGUUUGAUCCUGGCUCAGAACGAACGCUGGCGGCAGGCUUAACACAUGCAAGUCGAACGGUUGCAGCAAUGCAGCAGUGGCAGACGGGUGAGUAACACGUGGGAACCUUCCUAGGGUACGGAACAACUCAGGGAAACUUGAGCUAAUACCGUAUACGUCCGUGAGGAGAAAGAUUUAUCGGCCCUUAGACGGGCCCGCGUCGGAUUAGGUAGUUGGUGGGGUAACGGCCUACCAAGCCUACGAUCCGUAGCUGAUCUUAGAGGAUGAUCAGCCACACUGGGACUGAGACACGGCCCAGACUCCUACGGGA
rnacentral:rRNA from 1 species